GCGGAAGUGGUGGAAUUGGUAGACGCGCUAGAUUCAGGUUCUAGUGGGCGCAAGCCUGUGGGGGUUCGAGUCCCCCCUUCCGCA
rnacentral:tRNA from 2 species